AACUUUUGGCAGUAUCAUAACCAAUGAAGUUAAUCUGAGGUGUGAUUAUUGCUAGUUGAAAACUUUUCCCCCCAUAAUGUUCUGAGUGUAUGAAGCAGGCUCCACCCCUUCCAGUGACUCCUCCCAAUGUCACAUGACCAUUUAAUAUCUGCAUGACAUGC
rnacentral:snRNA from 1 species